rnacentral:tRNA from 1 species
GCGAAGGUGGCGGAAUGGCAGACGCGCUGGAUUCAGGUUCCAGUGUCGCGAGACGUGGGGGUUCAAGUCCCCCCCUUCGCA